GAAAUUAAAAAGACAAGAACAUAUAUAUAACUAUCUAACAUGAACAGUGGGAAGAAACAAGAACUUGAGCUAAUACAUGGACUACAAAACUGAAUAUAUUUCUGCAGAAAAGGGAAGACACUGUGACGACACAUACAUGAACUGGAAUUACGUAAAUUCAGUGCAAGUGACAAGCAUACAUGUACCACACGGUUGACAAAUAUAACAUUCACGAACUUAUUUUAUAUAGAUGCAUCAACUAGUCAGAUCCCAGAAAACAAACACUAUAUUAUACAAGUACUAAACAGAGCAAACAGCUGUUUACAUGUACUCUUCAAAUCUGAACCUUACAAGUCUUGAACAUCUCUCAAUACUAUAGAAUUUCAGAGAGAGAGAGAGAGAGAGAGAAGGCAACAGCAGGAGGUUGAGAGAGAAGAAGCAGUAGCAGGGGGCGUUGAGAGGAGGGAGAAGGAGCAGCGGGGCAAAGGAAGAUGGAGUAGCAGCAACGACUUGGAGUUUGGAGAUGGAGAAGGAGCAGAACAACAGCGUGGUAGGGGAAAGUAGAAGAGCAGCAGCAAUAGGGAUUCAGAGAGGAGGCGAGCUUGGAGAAGGAUAGCAGCAGGGAGAGUUGUAGAUGAGCAGCAGCAGUAGCGCGGGGGAGAAGGAGCAGCAGACAGGGAUUCAGAGAAGCGAGGAAGAAGGGAAGAAGAAGCAGCGGCGGUGUGUCUGGCCGGGCACGCCAACUGGAGGGAGAGGUCGCGCAAGGUGGGCACUGGUGGUUGGCGCUGUGAUGGAUGGAUGAUGGUGUGGGUGGUGGAUGGCGCGGGUGAUGGUGGAGCAACGAGGUCGCCGAAGCGCGUCGCCACGAUGGCCUGGCCGCGGCGGCGGCCGGAGGUGGGAGAAGAAGUGGUGAGGGGGAGAGAGAUGGAGAUGCCAGCUCCCUUUGGGAAUGGAGGCUGCUAGGGAUUUUGAUCCCCUCCGAUCAGAUCUGAAUGUUUUCACUUUGGCCCUCCUUCUUCCUUCUUUUGGCACAAGAUGAUCCCUCAACUCCUUAAGCUAGCCCCCCUAAGCUUUAAUCUUCUUCAAGCUUGAGUCCCUCUUUCUUCUCUUCUUGCCCGUGAUCUUGUUCCUCAAUUCUUUCUAGACAGGAACUUGUAGAUUAUAGUGCCUUGUCGCACUUUUCUGCAAAAGAAACACAAUGACUAGUAAAUGAUUCAUUAUAUGAUUUCCAUGCAAAUAUUCAAUAUUUCACAUCAAGAAUUAAUGGUCAUAUCUCAAUAAACCGCAUAUUUGAGUGCCAAAAGAUGUAUAUGAAAUGUGCUUAUCAAGUUCCCCACACUCAAAUCUUUGCUUGUCCUCAAGCAAAGGCAUAUGACAAAAGCAAGAACAUGAACAGUGAACUGACUAGAGAAUGUCAAGUGAAGUAGAUCUCUAAACAGUGCAUGCUUUGGACUUGGCUAGUGAAAAUUAAUGGUUAAGAGUGCUACAUAUCAAUAGGACACUAGUAAACUCGACCAUUUUAAACUUUUGCAAUGAUAAACGAAGAUUAGCAAGUUCAAAUGCUGAUUGUGCCAAAGGGUUCCUAAAGAGAGCAUGAUCCCAAAAAAAACUUAUUACCAGGAACAUAACAUUAUGGUAGAAGCACUUAUUGAAUUUUAAGGAAGUAAUGGUAAUAUUUUAUUGAUCUCACCAAUGGAACAUACCACCGAUCCCGAGAACAUGGUAUACACCCGGCUUGGCCAAUUAUUAGUUUUUUUUAGUUUGUCUCCCCAAAGGAACAUACCACCGAUCCCGAGAACAUGGUAUACACCUUGUUCGACAAUUACAUUUCUAUAAUUAUUAAUUACUGCCCAAGCUAACCUGAUUUCACAUGCCACCGAUCCCGGGAACAUGACAUGCUACUGUAGGUAGCCAGACUUAUUUAUUCAUUAUUACUUAUCUUAAAUGAACAACACAUAAGAACAAAAACAGGAAUCAUCACUUCUCCAUGUCUGGUUCACAUGCUACCGAUCCAGGGAACAUAGCAUGCUAAUCCAUAGUGGUUAGGUGAUUGCUCUCAAUGGGAAGACACUUGGCACAAAUUCAGCAUCUAAACAUGGUGAUCUAGGUGUAUCAUAGUAAAUGCAGAAAAUGACGAAGUUUUCUAGUGUACUAGGGAUUUGAGCACUCAAAACUAGUAGUUCUCACUAAUUUUAGCAAAGCAUGCAUGGUGUAGAUCACUAGUUUACAAGGCAUCCAAAAAUCAAGUUCACAAAUUCACAUCAAGCACAAUGCCAAAGGUGAGAUUCAGCUUGACAACAAGUAAUAACUGGCUCAAGCAACCCAACUAGCAAUUGAAUUCAGCAUGUAUUUAUGAUAUUCAGAAUGGGUCAUGAAACAGCUCACCGGGCUUAAUGAAGUAGCACUCGCUUGAUCACCUCACCAACUGCAGCUCUUCUCCUUUUCCUUCCUUAUGGAUGCUCCAGCUUCACUCUUCUUCGUGUGUGCCCCAUUGCUUCUCCUCAUCGCCAUGCUCUGACUCCACCAGGAUCCCAAGGAAUGUCACCUCAAACCUGGUCAGCAUGUAGUAAACAGUGCAGUAGCAAAAGCCUGAAAUAGGACUCACACAAACAACUAUAAGUGAUACGGUCGAUGCCCUCCAAGUCAUCAAUGGUAUAUCCAAUUAUAUAAGCAUAACUAUAAAGCACAUGUUUAGGAUGGCAGAAAUCAGCAUGGUCAAUACUCACACGAGGAUGACAUUUAUCAUUAAGCUCAAGACUAGCAUGGAAAUGAUGUGUUUCAUUAAGCAUAGGACUAGCACGAGGAAAGUAACUAUGAUCAUCGCAAAUGAGAGUAAUGCCACUAACAGGGUAUAUAUCAUCAUAUCCAAGCAAAUGAGUUUUCAAAUCAAUCUUAAGUGAUGGUAUCAUGUAAUGCAAGGUGGUAGCAAAGAAAUCACAAGGCAUCAUGUCAUCAAGAGGAUUGAGUAAACCUGACACAUCACGCUCUGGUAUGACAAUAGGCAAAUGAAUCUCAUGUUCUUCAUCUUCAUCUACAGCAGCUUCUUGUACUUCUUCAGGAGUAAUAGAUGAUGAGUCUUCAACUUGAUCACUUGGGAAUUGCAGCUCUUGACCAUCUUGUUCCUUGUCUUCUAGUUCAUCUUCUUCAAUCUGAGGUAUCUCUUGCUCAAGGCACUUGCUAUCUUGCUCAACGAAAUGUGAAGGUGCUGGAACCUCACAUGUAACCAUGGAUAUCUCAGCCACACUCAACUCAAGUUGUGAAGAAAUAGUGCUGCCAGCGUUGAUGUUCUUCUCAAUCUUCCUUACUUCUUCCACUAGCUCUUUUCCACUCUUGAUCUUCUUCAUUUCAUCUAGUAUAACCUUCCUAAUAGGAUCAUCCUCGGCACUCCAACUAAACUCGAGACUAAGCAAUGUGAUCUUUCUAUAUCAUCAAAUUCAUCUUGUGUGGGCACUUGCACAUGAGAUUGCUCGAAAGGUGCUGGAGUUGUUGGUUGACCAAAUGGAGGACCAUUUAACUCCAUUGGACACAUCUCCUGGUAUUGAGGUAUAUGAGUAGGAGGUGAAUAAAUCUAUUGUGGAGCAUAGUUGUGGUUCUCCUCAUUGUACCUGAAUCCCUGCAUUGGAUAACUAGAGGCAAACGAUGAGAUCUCAGGGUUAUUGCUCCUAUAUGACAUAUUCUGGUUUUUAGACCACCCAUGUGUGUAAUUGUUUUGGUAUGAGUUAGGCAGUGGGGCGAAGCUCAUGCCAUAACAAUCGGGAGGAUGGGAGUAACCACACUGACAUUCAGCGGGCGAAUGGCCCUGAAAUCCACAAAUAUGGCAGGUAGGAGCAACAUAAGGAUGGCCUCUGGAAUUAGGAUUGUAAGAACUAGGCCUAUCCUCAAAAACUCCUUCUUGCUGUCGAGCUAAAUCAUCUAAUCGAUGGGAAAUCUUACCUAUCAGUUCUUAAACACUUUCCGUGUUGUUUGUAGUGUUGCUCGCAUAAGCCUGAUGAUCUGAAUAGUAAGCCAUAACCGAGAGGAUAAUCCAACCUGCAAAAAGGAAAAGAAGACAAAAAGAUACUAACUAGAACAGGGGUUAGUGGCUAGAGAUAUAUCACAAAUAUAUAAAGCACAAAAAGGAAACAAGCUAAACCUAGUCUAAAGCCUAGCACAAUCGCUCGAUGCUAGUCCCCGGCAACGGUGCCAAAAUGAUCAGUUGAAAGUACAGUGGGGUUUUUACGCCCAAACUGCGAGUGUCGUGUUCUCCUCAGGGACUAGGCGACGACGACUAUGCUCGACUAAAGCUAGGUGACAGAAUACAAAUGAUGAUUGCAAGGAAAUAAACCUAAACUAAACAUGGUAGUUCCUAAAGAUCAUCGCCAAAGAAAAUGCAAAAUAAGCAAAGAGAUAUUCAGAUUUUCUAUACUCUCUUUUUGGCAAUUUCCAUAUUACUCAAAGAAUUUAAUGCUAACACAAGAAAACAUACGGCUAGGAAAUUAAAAAGACAAGAACAUAUAUAUAACUAUCUAACAUGAACAGUGGGAAGAAACAAGAACUUGAGCUAAUACAUGGACUACAAAACUGAAUAUAUUUCUGCAGAAAAGGGAAGACACUGUGACGACACAUACAUGAACUGGAAUUACGUAAAUUCAGUGCAAGUGACAAGCAUACAUGUACCACACGGUUGACAAAUAUAACAUUCACGAACUUAUUUUAUAUAGAUGCAUGAACUAGUCAGAUCCCAGCAAACAGCUGUUUACAUGUACUCUUCAAAUCUGAACCUUACAAGUCUUGAACAUCUCUCAAUACUAUAGAAUUUCAGAGAGAGAGAGAGAGAGAAGGCAACAGCAGGAGGUUGAGAGAGAAGAAGCAGUAGCAGGGGGCGUUGAGAGGAGGGAGAAGGAGCAGCGGGGCAAAGGAAGAUGGAGUAGCAGCAACGACUUGGAGUUUGGAGAUGGAGAAGGAGCAGAACAACAGCGUGGUAGGGGAAAGUAGAAGAGCAGCAGCAAUAGGGAUUCAGAGAGGAGGCGAGCUUGGAGAAGGAUAGCAGCAGGGAGAGUUGUAGAUGAGCAGCAGCAGUAGCGCGGGGGAGAAGGAGCAGCAGACAGGGAUUCAGAGAAGCGAGGAAGAAGGGAAGAAGAAGCAGCGGCGGUGUGUCUGGCCGGGCACGCCAGCUGGAGGGAGAGGUCGCGCGAGGUGGGCACUGGUGGUUGGCGCUGUGAUGGAUGGAUGAUGGUGUGGGUGGUGGAUGGCGCGGGUGAUGGUGGAGCAACGAGGUCGCCGAAGCGCGUCGCCACGAUGGCCUGGCCGCGGCGGCGGCCGGAGGUGGGAGAAGAAGUGGUGAGGGGGAGAGAGAUGGAGAUGCCAGCUCCCUUUGGGAAUGGAGGCUGCUAGGGAUUUUGAUCCCCUCCGAUCAGAUCUGAAUGUUUUCACUUUGGCCCUCCUCCUUCCUUCUUUUGGCACAAGAUGUUCCCUCCACUUCUUAAGCUAGCCCCCCUAAGCUUUAAUCUUCUUCAAGCUUGAGUCCCUCUUUCUUCUCUUCUUGCCCGUGAUCUUGUUCCUCAAUUCUUUCUAGACAGGAACUUGUAGAUUAUAGUGCCUUGUCGCACUUUUCUGCAAAAGAAACACAAUGACUAGUAAAUGAUUCAUUAUAUGAUUUCCAUGCAAAUAUUCAAUAUUUCACAUCAAGAAUUAAUGGUCAUAUCUCAAUAAACCGCAUAUUUGAGUGCCAAAAGAUGUAUAUGAAAUGUGCUUAUCAAGUUCCCCCACACUUAAAUCUUUGCUUGUCCUCAAGCAAAGGCAUAUGACAAAAGCAAGAACAUGAACAGUGAACUGACUAGAGAAUGUCAAGUGAAGUAGAUCUCUAAACAAUGCAUGCUUUGGACUUGGCUAGUGAAAAUUAAUGGUUAAGAGUGCUACAUAUCAAUAGGACACUAGUAAACUCGACCAUUUUAAACUUUUGCAAUGAUAAACGAAGAUUAGCAAGUUCAAAUGCUGAUUGUGCCAAAGGGUUCCUAAAGAGAGCAUGAUCCCAAAAAAAAACUUAUUACCCGGAACAUAACAUUAUGGUAGAAGCACUUAUUGAAUUUGAAGGAAGUAAUGGUAAUAUUUUAUUGAUCUCACCAAUGGAACAUACCACCGAUCCCAAGAACAUGGUAUACACCCGGCUUGGCCAAUUAUUAGUUUUUUUUAGUUUGUCUCCCCAAAGGAACAUACCACCGAUCCCGAGAACAUGGUGUACACCUGGUUCGACAAUUACAUUUCUAUAAUUAUUAAUUACUGCCCAAGCUAACCUGAUUUCACAUGCCACCGAUCCCGGGAACAUGACAUGCUACUGUAGGUAGCCAGACUUAUUUAUUCAUUAUUACUUAUCUUAAAUGAACAACACAUAAGAACAAAAACAGGAAUCAUCACUUCUCCAUGUCUGGUUCACAUGCUACCGAUCCAGGGAACAUAGCAUGCUAAUCCAUAGUGGUUAGGUGAUUGCUCUCAAUGGGAAGACACUUGGCACAAAUUCAGCAUCUAAACAUGGUGAUCUAGGUGUAUCAUAGUAAAUGCAGAAAAUGACGAAGUUUUCUAGUGUACUAGGGAUUUGAGCACUCAAAACUAGUAGUUCUCACUAAUUUUAGCAAAGCAUGCAUGGUGUAGAUCACUAGUUUACAAGGCAUCCAAAAAUCAAGUUCACAAAUUCACAUCAAGCACAAUGCCAAAGGUGAGAUUCAGCUUGACAACAAGUAAUAACUGGCUCAAGCAACCCAACUAGCAAUUGAAUUCAGCAUGUAUUUAUGAUAUUCAGAAUGGGUCAUGAAACAGCUCACCGGGCUUAAUGAAGUAGCACUCGCUUGAUCACCUCACCAACUGCAGCUCUUCUCCUUUUCCUUCCUUAUGGAUGCUCCAGCUUCACUCUUCUUCGUGUGUGCCCCAUUGCUUCUCCUCAUCGCCAUGCUCUGACUCCACCAGGAUCCCAAGGAAUGUCACCUCAAACCUGGUCAGCAUGUAGUAAACAGUGCAGUAGCAAAAGCCUGAAAUAGGACUCACACAAACAACUAUAAGUGAUACGGUCGAUGCCCUCCAAGUCAUCAAUGGUAUAUCCAAUUAUAUAAGCAUAACUAUAAAGCACAUGUUUAGGAUGGCAGAAAUCAGCAUGGUCAAUACUCACACGAGGAUGACAUUUAUCAUUAAGCUCAAGACUAGCAUGGAAAUGAUGUGUUUCAUUAAGCAUAGGACUAGCACGAGGAAAGUAACUAUGAUCAUCGCAAAUGAGAGUAAUGCCACUAACAGGGUAUAUAUCAUCAUAUCCAAGCAAAUGAGUUUUCAAAUCAAUCUUAAGUGAUGGUAUCAUGUAAUGCAAGGUGGUAGCAAAGAAAUCACAAGGCAUCAUGUCAUCAAGAGGAUUGAGUAAACCUGACACAUCACGCUCUGGUAUGACAAUAGGCAAAUGAAUCUCAUGUUCUUCAUCUUCAUCUACAGCAGCUUCUUGUACUUCUUCAGGAGUAAUAGAUGAUGAGUCUUCAACUUGAUCACUUGGGAAUUGCAGCUCUUGACCAUCUUGUUCCUUGUCUUCUAGUUCAUCUUCUUCAAUCUGAGGUAUCUCUUGCUCAAGGCACUUGCUAUCUUGCUCAACGAAAUGUGAAGGUGCUGGAACCUCACAUGUAACCAUGGAUAUCUCAGCCACACUCAACUCAAGUUGUGAAGAAAUAGUGCUGCCAGCGUUGAUGUUCUUCUCAAUCUUCCUUACUUCUUCCACUAGCUCUUUUCCACUCUUGAUCUUCUUCAUUUCAUCUAGUAUAACCUUCCUAAUAGGAUCAUCCUCGGCACUCCAACUAAACUCGAGACUAAGCAAUGUGAUCUUUCUAUAUCAUCAAAUUCAUCUUGUGUGGGCACUUGCACAUGAGAUUGCUCGAAAGGUGCUGGAGUUGUUGGUUGACCAAAUGGAGGACCAUUUAACUCCAUUGGACACAUCUCCUGGUAUUGAGGUAUAUGAGUAGGAGGUGAAUAAAUCUAUUGUGGAGCAUAGUUGUGGUUCUCCUCAUUGUACCUGAAUCCCUGCAUUGGAUAACUAGAGGCAAACGAUGAGAUCUCAGGGUUAUUGCUCCUAUAUGACAUAUUCUGGUUUUUAGGCCACCCAUGUGUGUAAUUGUUUUGGUAUGAGUUAGGCAGUGGGGCGAAGCUCAUGCCAUAACAAUCGGGAGGAUGGGAGUAACCACACUGACAUUCAGCGGGCGAAUGGCCCUGAAAUCCACAAAUAUGGCAGGUAGGAGCAACAUAAGGAUGGCCUCUGGAAUUAGGAUCGUAAGAACUAGGCCUAUCCUCAAAAACUCCUUCUCGCUGUCGAGCUAAAUCAUCUAAUCGAUGGGAAAUCUUACCUAUCAGUUCUUAAACACUUUCCGUGUUGUUUGUAGUGUUGCUCGCAUAAGCCUGAUGAUCUGAAUAGUAAGCCAUAACCGAGAGGAUAAUCCAACCUGCAAAAAGGAAAAGAAGACAAAAAGAUACUAACUAGAACAGGGGUUAGUGGCUAGAGAUAUAUCACAAAUAUAUAAAGCACAAAAAGGAAACAAGCUAAACCUAGUCUAAAGCCUAGCACAAUCGCUCGAUGCUAGUCCCCGGCAACGGUGCCAAAAUGAUCAGUUGAAAGUACAGUGGGGUUUUUACGCCCAAACUGCGAGUGUCGUGUUCUCCUCAGGGACUAGGCGACAAUGACUAUGCUCGACUAAAGCUAGGUGACAGAAUACAAAUGAUGAUUGCAAGGAAAUAAACCUAAACUAAACAUGGUAGUUCCUAAAGAUCAUCGCCAAAGAAAAUGCAAAAUAAGCAAAGAGAUAUUCAGAUUUUCUAUACUCUCUUUUUGGCAAUUUCCAUAUUACUCAAAGAAUUUAAUGCUAACACAAGAAAACAUACGGCUAGGAAAUUAAAAAGACAAGAACAUAUAUAUAACUAUCUAACAUGAACAGUGGGAAGAAACAAGAACUUGAGCUAAUACAUGGACUACAAAACUGAAUAUAUUUCUGCAGAAAAGGGAAGACACUGUGACGACACAUACAUGAACUGGAAUUACGUAAAUUCAGUGCAAGUGACAAGCAUACAUGUACCACACGGUUGACAAAUAUAACAUUCACGAACUUAUUUUAUAUAGAUGCAUGAACUAGUCAGAUCCCAGAAAACAAACACUAUAUUAUACAAGUACUAAACAGAGCAAACAGCUGUUUACAUGUACUCUUCAAAUCUGAACCUUACAAGUCUUGAACAUCUCUCAAUACUAUAGAAUUUCAGAGAGAGAGAGAGAGAAGGCAACAGCAGGAGGUUGAGAGAGAAGAAGCAGUAGCAGGGGGCGUUGAGAGGAGGGAGAAGGAGCAGCGGGGCAAAGGAAGAUGGAGUAGCAGCAACGACUUGGAGUUUGGAGAUGGAGAAGGAGCAGAACAACAGCGUGGUAGGGGAAAGUAGAAGAGCAGCAGCAAUAGGGAUUCAGAGAGGAGGCGAGCUUGGAGAAGGAUAGCAGCAGGGAGAGUUGUAGAUGAGCAGCAGCAGUAGCGCGGGGGAGAAGGAGCAGCAGACAGGGAUUCAGAGAAGCGAGGAAGAAGGGAAGAAGAAGCAGCGGCGGUGUGUCUGGCCGGGCACGCCAGCUGGAGGGAGAGGUCGCGCGAGGUGGGCACUGGUGGUUGGCGCUGUGAUGGAUGGAUGAUGGUGUGGGUGGUGGAUGGCGCGGGUGAUGGUGGAGCAACGAGGUCGCCGAAGCGCGUCGCCACGAUGGCCUGGCCGCGGCGGCGGCCGGAGGUGGGAGAAGAAGUGGUGAGGGGGAGAGAGAUGGAGAUGCCAGCUCCCUUUGGGAAUGGAGGCUGCUAGGGAUUUUGAUCCCCUCCGAUCAGAUCUGAAUGUUUUCACUUUGGCCCUCCUCCUUCCUUCUUUUGGCACAAGAUGAUCCCUCCACUUCUUAAGCUAGCCCCCCUAAGCUUUAAUCUUCUUCAAGCUUGAGUCCCUCUUUCUUCUCUUCUUGCCCGUGAUCUUGUUCCUCAAUUCUUUCUAGACAGGAACUUGUAGAUUAUAGUGCCUUGUCGCACUUUUCUGCAAAAGAAACACAAUGACUAGUAAAUGAUUCAUUAUAUGAUUUCCAUGCAAAUAUUCAAUAUUUCACAUCAAGAAUUAAUGGUCAUAUCUCAAUAAACCGCAUAUUUGAGUGCCAAAAGAUGUAUAUGAAAUGUGCUUAUCAAGUUCCCCCACACUUAAAUCUUUGCUUGUCCUCAAGCAAAGGCAUAUGACAAAAGCAAGAACAUGAACAGUGAACUGACUAGAGAAUGUCAAGUGAAGUAGAUCUCUAAACAAUGCAUGCUUUGGACUUGGCUAGUGAAAAUUAACGGUUAAGAGUGCUACAUAUCAAUAGGACACUAGUAAACUCGACCAUUUUAAACUUUUGCAAUGAUAAACGAAGAUUAGCAAGUUCAAAUGCUGAUUGUGCCAAAGGGUUCCUAAAGAGAGCAUGAUCCCAAAAAAAACUUAUUACCCGGAACAUAACAUUAUGGUAGAAGCACUUAUUGAAUUUGAAGGAAGUAAUGGUAAUAUUUUAUUGAUCUCACCAAUGGAACAUACCACCGAUCCCGAGAACAUGGUAUACACCCGGCUUGGCCAAUUAUUAGUUUUUUUUAGUUUGUCUCCCCAAAGGAACAUACCACCGAUCCCGAGAACAUGGUAUACACCUGGUUCGACAAUUACAUUUCUAUAAUUAUUAAUUACUGCCCAAGCUAACCUGAUUUCACAUGCCACCGAUCCCGGGAACAUGACAUGCUACUGUAGGUAGCCAGACUUAUUUAUUCAUUAUUACUUAUCUUAAAUGAACAACACAUAAGAACAAAAACAGGAAUCAUCACUUCUCCAUGUCUGGUUCACAUGCUACCGAUCCAGGGAACAUAGCAUGCUAAUCCAUAGUGGUUAGGUGAUUGCUCUCAAUGGGAAGACACUUGGCACAAAUUCAGCAUCUAAACAUGGUGAUCUAGGUGUAUCAUAGUAAAUGCAGAAAAUGACGAAGUUUUCUAGUGUACUAGGGAUUUGAGCACUCAAAACUAGUAGUUCUCACUAAUUUUAGCAAAGCAUGCAUGGUGUAGAUCACUAGUUUACAAGGCAUCCAAAAAUCAAGUUCACAAAUUCACAUCAAGCACAAUGCCAAAGGUGAGAUUCAGCUUGACAACAAGUAAUAACUGGCUCAAGCAACCCAACUAGCAAUUGAAUUCAGCAUGUAUUUAUGAUAUUCAGAAUGGGUCAUGAAACAGCUCACCGGGCUUAAUGAAGUAGCACUCGCUUGAUCACCUCACCAACUGCAGCUCUUCUCCUUUUCCUUCCUUAUGGAUGCUCCAGCUUCACUCUUCUUCGUGUGUGCCCCAUUGCUUCUCCUCAUCGCCAUGCUCUGACUCCACCAGGAUCCCAAGGAAUGUCACCUCAAACCUGGUCAGCAUGUAGUAAACAGUGCAGUAGCAAAAGCCUGAAAUAGGACUCACACAAACAACUAUAAGUGAUACGGUCGAUGCCCUCCAAGUCAUCAAUGGUAUAUCCAAUUAUAUAAGCAUAACUAUAAAGCACAUGUUUAGGAUGGCAGAAAUCAGCAUGGUCAAUACUCACACGAGGAUGACAUUUAUCAUUAAGCUCAAGACUAGCAUGGAAAUGAUGUGUUUCAUUAAGCAUAGGACUAGCACGAGGAAAGUAACUAUGAUCAUCGCAAAUGAGAGUAAUGCCACUAACAGGGUAUAUAUCAUCAUAUCCAAGCAAAUGAGUUUUCAAAUCAAUCUUAAGUGAUGGUAUCAUGUAAUGCAAGGUGGUAGCAAAGAAAUCACAAGGCAUCAUGUCAUCAAGAGGAUUGAGUAAACCUGACACAUCACGCUCUGGUAUGACAAUAGGCAAAUGAAUCUCAUGUUCUUCAUCUUCAUCUACAGCAGCUUCUUGUACUUCUUCAGAAGUAAUAGAUGAUGAGUCUUCAACUUGAUCACUUGGGAAUUGCAGCUCUUGACCAUCUUGUUCCUUGUCUUCUAGUUCAUCUUCUUCAAUCUGAGGUAUCUCUUGCUCAAGGCACUUGCUAUCUUCCUCAACGAAAUGUGAAGGUGCUGGAACCUCACAUGUAACCAUGGAUAUCUCAGCCACACUCAACUCAAGUUGUGAAGAAAUAGUGCUGCCAGCGUUGAUGUUCUUCUCAAUCUUCCUUACUUCUUCCACUAGCUCUUUUCCACUCUUGAUCUUCUUCAUUUCAUCUAGUAUAACCUUCCUAAUAGGAUCAUCCUCGGCACUCCAACUAAACUCGAGACUAAGCAAUGUGAUCUUUCUAUAUCAUCAAAUUCAUCUUGUGUGGGCACUUGCACAUGAGAUUGCUCGAAAGGUGCUGGAGUUGUUGGUUGACCAAAUGGAGGACCAUUUAACUCCAUUGGACACAUCUCCUGGUAUUGAGGUAUAUGAGUAGGAGGUGAAUAAAUCUAUUGUGGAGCAUAGUUGUGGUUCUCCUCAUUGUACCUGAAUCCCUGCAUUGGAUAACUAGAGGCAAACGAUGAGAUCUCAGGGUUAUUGCUCCUAUAUGACAUAUUCUGGUUUUUAGGCCACCCAUGUGUGUAAUUGUUUUGGUAUGAGUUAGGCAGUGGGGCGAAGCUCAUGCCAUAACAAUCGGGAGGAUGGGAGUAACCACACUGACAUUCAGCGGGCGAAUGGCCCUGAAAUCCACAAAUAUGGCAGGUAGGAGCAACAUAAGGAUGGCCUCUGGAAUUAGGAUCGUAAGAACUAGGCCUAUCCUCAAAAACUCCUUCUCGCUGUCGAGCUAAAUCAUCUAAUCGAUGGGAAAUCUUACCUAUCAGUUCUUAAACACUUUCCGUGUUGUUUGUAGUGUUGCUCGCAUAAGCCUGAUGAUCUGAAUAGUAAGCCAUAACCGAGAGGAUAAUCCAACCUGCAAAAAGGAAAAGAAGACAAAAAGAUACUAACUAGAACAGGGGUUAGUGGCUAGAGAUAUAUCACAAAUAUAUAAAGCACAAAAAGGAAACAAGCUAAACCUAGUCUAAAGCCUAGCACAAUCGCUCGACGCUAGUCCCCGGCAACGGCGCCAAAAUGAUCAAUUGAAAGUACAGUGGGGUUUUUACGCCCAAACUGCGAGUGUCGUGUUCUCCUCAGGGACUAGGCGACGACGACUAUGCUCGACUAAAGCUAGGUGACAGAAUACAAAUGAUGAUUGCAAGGAAAUAAACCUAAACUAAACAUGGUAGUUCCUGAAGAUCAUCGCCAAAGAAAAUGCAAAAUAAGCAAAGAGAUAUUCAGAUUUUCUAUACUCUCUUUUUGGCAAUUUCCAUAUUACUCAAAGAAUUUAAUGCUAACACAAGAAAACAUACGGCUAGGAAAUUAAAAAGACAAGAACAUAUAUAUAACUAUCUAACAUGAACAGUGGGAACAAACAAGAACUUGAGCUAAUACAUGGACUACAAAACUGAAUAUAUUUCUGCAGAAAAGGGAAGACACUGUGACGACGCAUACAUGAACUGGAAUUACGUAAAUUCAGUGCAAGUGACAAGCAUACAUGUACCACACGGUUGACAAAUAUAACAUUCACGAACUUAUUUUAUAUAGAUGCAUCAACUAGUCAGAUCCCAGAAAACAAACACUAUAUUAUACAAGUACUAAACAGAGCAAACAGCAGUUUACAUGUACUCUUCAAAUCUGAACCUUACAAGUCUUGAACAUCUCUCAAUAGUAUAGAAUUUGAGAGAGAGAGAGAGAGAGAGAGAAGGCAACAGCAGGAGGUUGAGAGAGAAGAAGCAGUAGCAGGGGGCGUUGAGAGGAGGGAGAAGGAGCAGCGGGGCAAAGGAAGAUGGAGUAGCAGCAACAACUUGGAGUUUGGAGAUGGAGAAGGAGCAGAACAGCAGCGUGGUAGGGGAAAGUAGAAGAGCAGCAACAGUAGGGAUUCAGAGAGGAGGCGAGCUUGGACAAGGAUAGCAGCAGGGAGAGUUGUAGACGAGCAACAGCAGUAGCGCAGGGGAGAAGGAGCAGCAGACAGGGAUUCAUAGAAGCGGGGAAGAAGGGAAGAAGAAGCAGCGGCGGUGUGUCUGGCCGGGCGCGCCGGCUGGAGGGAGAGGUCGCGUGAGGUUGGCACUGGUGGCUGGCGCUGUGAUGGAUGGAUGAUGGUGUGGGUGGUGGAUGGCGCGGGUGAUGGUGGAGCAACGAGGUCGCGGAAGCGCGCCGCCAUGAUGGCCUGGCCGCGGCGGCGGCCGGAGGUGGGAGAAGAAGUGGUGAGGGGGAGAGAGAUGGAGAUGCCAGCUCCCUUUGGGAAUGGAGGCUGCUAGGGAUUUUGAUCCCCUCCGAUCAGAUCUGAAUGUUUUCACUUUGGCCCUCCUUCUUCCUUCUUUUGGCACAAGAUGAUCCCUCCACUUCUUAAGCUAGCCCCCCUAAGCUUUAAUCUUCUUCAAGCUUGAGUCCCUCUUUCUUCUCUUCUUGCCCGUGAUCUUGUUCCUCAAUUCUUUCUAGACAGGAACUUGUAGAUUAUAGUGCCUUGUCGCACUUUUCUGCAAAAGAAACACAAUGACUAGUAAAUGAUUCAUUAUAUGAUUUCCAUGCAAAUAUUCAAUAUUUCACAGCAAGAAUUGAUGGUCAUAUCUCAAUAAACCGCAUAUUUGAGUGCCAAAAGAUGUAUAUGAAAUGUGCUUAUCA
rnacentral:lncRNA from 1 species